GACGAACGCUGGCGGCGUGCCUAAUGCAUGCAAGUCGAGCGCAGGAAGUCAUCCGAACCCUUCGGGGGGACGUUGACGGAAUGAGCGGCGGACGGGUGAGUAACACGUAAAGAACCUGCCCUCAGGUCUGGGAUAACCACGAGAAAUCGGGGCUAAUACCGGAUGGGUCAUCGGACCGCAUGGUCCGAGGAUGAAAGGCGCUCCGGCGUCGCCUGGGGAUGGCUUUGCGGUGCAUUAGCUAGUUGGUGGGGUAAUGGCCCACCAAGGCGACGAUGCAUAGCCGACCUGAGAGGGUGAUCGGCCUCACUGGGACUGAGACACGGCCCAGACUCCUACGGGAGGCAGCAGUAGGGAAUCUUCCACAAUGGACGAAAGUCUGAUGGAGCAACGCCGCGUGAACGAUGAAGGCCCUCGGGUCGUAAAGUUCUGUUGUAAGGGAAGAACAAGUGCCGCAGGCAAUGGCGGCACCUUGACGGUACCUUGCGAGAAAGCCACGGCUAACUACGUG
rnacentral:rRNA from 1 species